rnacentral:lncRNA from 1 species
ACUUGUUAGAUAGUUAUACUAUUAUUGGUUAUGCAUCUGUUACUAGUGGUGAUUCUCAUGUUUUGGUUAAGUUGUGGAUCUUCGGGUGGGUACUUGUUAGUGACAUGAGUUUAGUUGGACUAGUNNNNNNNNNNNNNNNNNNNNNAUCGGUUGACAUGGAUGCAAGGUGUGUGAUGAUAGCGUGCGGGCAUUGGUUGGCAUUGAUGCAAGGUACGCGGUUAUCUCGAUGGCUGAUGAACUUCCAGAGAAAGCCAACAUGGAAGUUGCACCAUAAUUCUUCAGCGAGGUUUCGAGAUGAAAUUCUUGGGAUGACUUGGUUCCAAGUGAAGCAAAAUCUUGGGAUGGUUAAGUUCCAAGUGAAUAAAAUUCUUGGGAUGGUUUAGUUCCAAGUGGAGUGUACUUUUUAUGGUGGAGUAUGAUAAUUUAAUUUGUCGGUAUAGACAAUGAGAAUUAUGAUUGUCGGUGAAGACAAUGAUU